rnacentral:rRNA from 1 species
AAGUCGUAACAAGGUUUCCGUAGGUGAACCUGCGGAAGGAUCAUUAUUGAGAUGAGUGUGUCCAGCUUGCUGGCUCUCUCACCCCCCUCUCCCCUCUUGUGAACAUUUAUUGUUUUAGUCACAAAAUAAAAACUUUCAACAACGGAUCUCUUGGCUCCGGCGUCGAUGAAGAACGCAGCGAAAUGCGAUACGUGAUGUGAAUUGCAGAAUUUGUGAAUCAUCGAAACUUUGAACGCACAUUGCGCCUAUUGGUUACUCCUUUAGGCACGUCUGUUUGAGCGUUGUUUAAAUCUCGGGAAACCGGCUUUGAAGAUUGGCUUUUGUUGUCAUCUUUGAAAUACCUCGGCUAGCUUGUAAGCUUUACAGCACGGAGAAACGUGUGUGUGCCCUUGCAAACUAUCUGUAGAUCUAAACUUUUUGUACCUCAACCUCAAAUCAGACGGGGAUACCCGCUGAACUUAAGCAUAUCAAUAAGCGGAGGAAAAGAAACCAACAGGGAUGGCCCCAGUAACGGCGAGCGAAGCGGCCACAGCUCAGAUUUGGAACCGGUGUUCUUGCAUCGGAUUGUAAUCUGCAGAGGAGGAUCUGGUGAUGGUUUUGACUGAAGUUCUUUGGAAUAAGGCGCCCUGGAGGGUGAGAGCCCCGUACAGUCAGUUCCAGUAUCCGUACAGACCUCUCUCAACGAGUCGAGUUGUUUGGGAAUGCAGCUCAAAUUGGGAGGUAAAUUCCUUCUAAGGCUAAACAUUCGCCGGAGACCGAUAGUGAACAAGUAGAGUGAUCGAAAGAUGAAAAGCACUUUGGAAAGAGAGUCAAAAAGCGCGUGAAAUUGUUGAAAGGGAAGCGCUCGUGGUCAGACUUGGUUAUGCUACUCAGCCGCUCCUCUUUGGGGCCGGUGUGUUUGGUAUGUCCAGGCCAGCAUCAGUUUGAGCAGAUGAACAAACCCCGGGGAAUGUAACUCCUUGGAGUAUUAUAGCCCCCGGUUACGCAUCUCGUUCAGACUGAGGUCUUCGCUUCGGCUAGGAUGCUGGCGUAAUGACCCUGAGCGGCCCGUCUUGAAACACGGACC